AGUGAACGCUGGCGGUAGGCCUAACACAUGCAAGUCGAACGGCAGCACAGUAAGAGCUUGCUCUUACGGGUGGCGAGUGGCGGACGGGUGAGGAAUACAUCGGAAUCUACUUUUUCGUGGGGGAUAACGUAGGGAAACUUACGCUAAUACCGCAUACGACCUACGGGUGAAAGCAGGGGAUCUUCGGACCUUGCGCGAUUGAAUGAGCCGAUGUCGGAUUAGCUAGUUGGCGGGGUAAAGGCCCACCAAGGCGACGAUCGGUAGCUGGUCUGGGAGGAUGAUCAGCCACACUGGAACUGAGACACGGUCCAGACUCCUACGGGAGGCAGCAGUGGGGAAUAUUGGACAAUGGGCGCAAGCCUGAUCCAGCCAUACCGCGUGGGUGAAGAAGGCCUUCGGGUUGUAAAGCCCUUUUGUUGGGAAAGAAAAGCAGCAGGUUAAUACCCCGCUGUUCUGACGGUACCCAAAGAAUAAGCACCGGCUAACUUCGUG
rnacentral:rRNA from 1 species